CUCUGGACGUGUCAAGGCGGGGAGUCAUUAAGCGUGUGUACUGCGGCGUCCUUUGCAGUGUUGCUCUGUUACAAUGCGUGUGCGUGCGUGUGUGCGCGGGUGGAGGUAGAGGAGGGAGGGGCGCAAGGGUGGGCGGCGGUCCCUGCCUCACCUGAGUUCUGGGAGUGGAGGAAAUUGAAAGAGUGUCACUGGUCACCGAACCUUUCUGUCCGCCAUCACGGUUCUUGUAAACAACGCCAAAAGACCGCUAGGGCAAACACUUUUCUUCUAUCUUCACUAUCACUGUCCUGUUACUAUUUUACUGUGCAUUGUUAAAUUCAGUGUAUUUUUUACAAGUACUGUGAUGUUUUUUUUGGUCUUAAUCGUCUAGUUCUCUUUCUUGUAAUAUAUAGUAACUCAUGUCUACGCUUCUGUCUCCAGUAACACCAUUUUGUUACUAAUUUCCUAUGCGUCGGUGACCAUUUACUUCUGCUACUUACUUCUUAUGUACAUGUUAUGUAUAAACUUCUAGGCAAAGAAUAAAUGAAAUGUUAAAGCGACCGCCGGGUUAAAGCAUUCUUCCUUGUUUCCUAUCGAGAAGUCUGUCUUUGAAAUUACGGCAUCAAAAUAAAUUAUGCUUCGCCUACUUGAGAA